AGAGGAGCUUGCUUCUCUUGAGAGCGGCGGACGGGUGAGUAAUGCCUAGGAAUCUGCCUAGUGGUGGGGGAUAACGUUCGGAAACGGACGCUAAUACCGCAUACGUCCUACGGGAGAAAGCGGGGGAUCUUCGGACCUCGCGCCAUUAGAUGAGCCUAGGUCGGAUUAGCUAGUUGGUGAGGUAAUGGCUCACCAAGGCGACGAUCCGUAACUGGUCUGAGAGGAUGAUCAGUCACACUGGAACUGAGACACGGUCCAGACUCCUACGGGAGGCAGCAGUGGGGAAUAUUGGACAAUGGGCGAAAGCCUGAUCCAGCCAUGCCGCGUGUGUGAAGAAGGUCUUCGGAUUGUAAAGCACUUUAAGUUGGGAGGAAGGGUUGUAGAUUAAUACUCUGCAAUUUUGACGUUACCGACAGAAUAAGCACCGGCUAACUUCGUGCCAGCAGCCGCGGUAAUACGAAGGGUGCAAGCGUUAAUCGGAAUUACUGGGCGUAAAGCGCGCGUAGGUGGUUCGUUAAGUUGGAUGUGAAAGCCCCGGGCUCAACCUGGGAACUGCAUCCAAAACUGGCGAGCUAGAGUACGGUAGAGGGUGGUGGAAUUUCCUGUGUAGCGGUGAAAUGCGUAGAU
rnacentral:rRNA from 1 species